rnacentral:rRNA from 1 species
UACGAAGGGGGCGAGCGUUGUUCGGAUUUACUGGGCGUAAAGGGCGCGCAGGCGGUCUUGAAAGUCAGGCGUGAAAGCCCCGGGCUUAACCUGGGGAUUGCGCUUGAUACUCUGAGACUGGAGUACGGGAGAGGAGAGUGGAAUUCCCGGUGUAGCGGUGAAAUGCGCAGAUAUCAGGAGGAACACCGGUGGCGAAGGCGGGUCUCUGGGCAGUAACUGACGCUGAGGAGCGAAAGCGUGGGGAGCGAACAGG